UGGUCAACAAGUUUACUGCCAUGGGAUGGGACUGCGGCCUAUCAGCUUGUUGGUGAGGUAAUGGCCCACCAGCGAUUACAGGUACGGGCUCUGAGAGGAGAAGCCCGGAGAUGGGUACUGAGACACGGACCCAGGCCCUAUGGGGCGCAGCAGGCGAGAAACCUUUAGCAAUGUGCGAAAGCACGACUGGGCCAGUCCGAGUGAUUCCUGAUAAAGGAGUCUUUUGCCUGUCCUAAAAGCACAGGUGAAUAAGGGGUGGGCAAGUCUGGUGUCAGCCGCCGCGGUAAUACCAGCACCUCGAGUGGUCAGGACGUUUAUUGGGCCUAAAGCAUCCGUAGCCGACUCUGCAAGUCUUCGGUUAAAUCCACCUGCUCAACAGAUGGGCCGCUGGAGAUACUACAGAGCUAGGGAGUGGGAGAGGCAGACGGUAUUCAGUGGGUAGGGGUAAAAUCCUCUGAUCCAUUGAGGACCACCAGUGGCGAAGGCGGUCUGCCAGAACACGUUCGACGGUGAGGGAUGAAAGCUGGGGGAGCAAACCGGAUUAGAUACCCGGGUAGUCCCAGCUGUAAACGAUGCAAACUCGGUGAUGCAUUGGCUUAU
rnacentral:rRNA from 1 species